rnacentral:miRNA from 1 species
GUUGGUGCAAAAGUAAUUGCGGUUUUUGCCAUUGAAAGUAAUAGCAAAAACUGCAAUUACUUUGUACCAAC